GAGGGCAACUUUGGGGCCGUUCCUUGUCUAUGUUCCUUGGAACAGGACGUCAUAGAGGGUGAGAAUCCCGUGUGGCGAGGAGUGCGGUUCUUUGUAAAGUGCCUUCGAAGAGUCGAGUUGUUUGGGAAUGCAGCUCUAAGUGGGUGGUAAAUUCCAUCUAAAGCUAAAUAUUGGCGAGAGACCGAUAGCGAACAAGUACAGUGAUGGAAAG
rnacentral:rRNA from 1 species